UACGGAGGGAGCUAGCGUUGUUCGGAAUUACUGGGCGUAAAGCGCACGUAGGCGGCUUUGUAAGUUAGAGGUGAAAGCCCGGGGGCUCAACCCCGGAAUUGCCUUUAAGACUGCAUCGCUUGAAUCCGGGAGAGGUGAGUGGAAUUCCGAGUGUAGAGGUGAAAUUCGUAGAUAUUCGGAAGAACACCAGUGGCGAAGGCGGCUCACUGGACCGGUAUUGACGCUGAGGUGCGAAAGCGUGGGGAGCAAACAGG
rnacentral:rRNA from 1 species